UACAGAGGGGGCAAGCGUUGUUCGGAAUUACUGGGCGUAAAGGGCGCGUAGGCGGCCUUCUAAGUCGAACGUGAAAUCCCCGGGCUCAACCCGGGAACUGCGUCCGAGACUGGUAGGCUUGAAUCCGGGAGAGGGAUGUGGAAUUCCAGGUGUAGCGGUGAAAUGCGUAGAUAUCAGGAAGAACACCGAUGGCGAAGGCAGCGCUCUGGGACGGUACUGACGCUGAGACGCGAAAGCGUGGGGAGCGAACAGG
rnacentral:rRNA from 1 species